CAAGGUCAACCCAAAGUCAAGACCAACCCAAGGUCAACUCAAAGUCAAGACCAACUCAAGGUCAACUCAAAGUCAAGACCAAUCAAUGGCCAAAGUCAAGACCAACUCACGUCAAGAUAAAGCAACUCAACAUCAAGACCAACCCAAGGUCAACCCAAAGUCAAGACCAACCAAUGGCCAAAGUCAAGGCCAACUCAUGUCA
rnacentral:lncRNA from 1 species